GUCAGAGGUCGAAGGAGUAGGGCACCCGCUCGUUGAUUCUUUAACUCACCAGAUGCCUCAGCUGAUAGGAGAUACAAAGACAACGAGCACGCCACACCUUCUACCUGUCGCUUCAACACCAACACCAACACCAACCUCUCCCCUCUGGGUCUUGGCCUUUGUGGGAGACAUCGACGCCGGUUUCCUCAGUACCUCUGGAUCUACUAUCCGGACCGUUCCCUGCUGAAGACUCGACGUCGGCAUCUGGGCUAUCCGCACCUCCACAGCCACCGUCGCCGACACCAUCAGCACAGCCAGCAACCACAGACAAGCCGCGGAC